CCUACGGGUGGCUGCAGUGGGGAAUAUUGGGCAAUGGGGGGAACCCUGAUCCAGCCAUGCCGCGUGUGUGAAGAAGGCCCUCGGGUUGUAAAGCACUUUCAGUGAGGAAGAACGCCUGGUGGUUAAUACCCAUCAGGAAAGACAUCACUCACAGAAGAAGCACCGGCUAACUCCGUGCCAGCAGCCGCGGUAAUACGGAGGGUGCGAGCGUUAAUCGGAAUUACUGGGCGUAAAGCGCGCGUAGGUGGCUUGAUAAGCCGGUUGUGAAAGCCCCGGGCUCAACCUGGGAACGGCAUCCGGAACUGUCAAGCUAGAGUGCAGGAGAGGAAGGUAGAAUUCCCGGUGUAGCGGUGAAAUGCGUAGAGAUCGGGAGGAAUACCAGUGGCGAAGGCGGCCUUCUGGACUGACACUGACACUGAGGUGCGAAAGCGUGGGUAGCAAACAGGAUUAGAUACCCCAGUAGUC
rnacentral:rRNA from 1 species